GACGAACGCUGGCGGCGUGCCUAACACAUGCAAGUCGAACGGGGUUGAGCCCUUCGGGACUCAACUUAGUGGCGAACGGGUGAGUAACGCGUGAGAAACCCUGCCUCUCAGUGGGGGACAACAGUUGGAAACGACUGCUAAUACCGCAUAAUGUAUCCGGAGGGCAUCCUCUGGAUACCAAAAGCUUUUAUGUGCUGAGAGAUGGUCUCGCGUCUGAUUAGCUAGUUGGUAGGGUAACGGCCUACCAAGGCGACGAUCAGUAGCCGGGCCUGAGAGGGUGAACGGCCACAUUGGGACUGAGACACGGCCCAAACGUCCUACGGGAGGCAGCAGUGGGGAAUAUUGCACAAUGGGGGAAACCCUGAUGCAGCGACGCCGCGUGAACGAUGAAGUAUUUCGGUAUGUAAAGUUCUAUCAGCAGGGAAGAUAAUGACGGGUACCUGACUAAGAAGCACGGCUAAAUACGUG
rnacentral:rRNA from 1 species